AAAAAUAAUAAUGAUAAAUUAAUAGUAGAGCAAGAAAAGUGCAAUUUGUACACUUUAUUUAUGAUAUAAAUCUUACACUCUACCUCUUCUAUUAAUGAAAUAUUUUUGUCAGUCGCAUCAAUAUGACAAGUGAAGAAAUUUAAUCUAUUAGAUAAAUAAGAUGUAAAAUAUAUAUCUUUUUUGGAUGUACGAUAGCUGUUAAAUAUAAAAAAUAUAUAAACACCAUUCUCUACCAGCUUAGAUUUUUGGGAAAUACAAUUAUUUCAUUUAAUUUAACUUGGUAUUAGAGCAUAAGAUCCUGAUUAGUUCUAGCCAGUGAAAUACCAUGGUAUUAAAGCAGUAGAUUUUGAGCUCUGAAUUACUCCAAAUACCAUAGUAUUAGAGCACGAGAUUCUGCAUUUGAGUUACGCGAAAUACCAUUCUCUAUCAGCAUUCUCUAUUAGCUUAGAUUUUUUGAGAAUAAAGAUUGUUUCAUUUAAUUUAACAGUAGCAUUGCCCAAUUAUAAUUUUCUUAAACU
rnacentral:lncRNA from 1 species